rnacentral:rRNA from 1 species
AUGCAGUCGAACGAACUCUGGUAUUGAUUGGUGCUUGCAUCAUGAUUUACAUUUGAGUGAGUGGCGAACUGGUGAGUAACACGUGGGAAACCUGCCCAGAAGCGGGGGAUAACACCUGGAAACAGAUGCUAAUACCGCAUAACAACUUGGACCGCAUGGUCUGAGCUUGAAAGAUGGCUUCGGCUAUCACUUUUGGAUGGUCCCGCGGCGUAUUAGCUAGAUGGUGGGGUAACGGCUCACCAUGGCAAUGAUACGUAGCCGACCUGAGAGGGUAAUCGGCCACAUUGGGACUGAGACACGGCCCAAACUCCUACGGGAGGCAGCAGUAGGGAAUCUUCCACAAUGGACGAAAGUCUGAUGGAGCAACGCCGCGUGAGUGAAGAAGGGUUUCGGCUCGUAAAACUCUGUUGUUAAAGAAGAACAUAUCUGAGAGUAACUGUUCAGGUAUUGACGGUAUUUAACCAGAAAGCCACGGCUAACUACGUGCCAGCAGCCGCGGUAAUACGUAGGUGGCAAGCGUUGUCCGGAUUUAUUGGGCGUAAAGCGAGCGCAGGCGGUUUUUUAAGUCUGAUGUGAAAGCCUUCGGCUCAACCGAAGAAGUGCAUCGGAAACUGGGAAACUUGAGUGCAGAAGAGGACAGUGGAACUCCAUGUGUAGCGGUGAAAUGCGUAGAUAUAUGGAAGAACACCAGUGGCGAAGGCGGCUGUCUGGUCUGUAACUGACGCUGAGGCUCGAAAGUAUGGGUAGCAAACAGGAUUAGAUACCCUGGUAGUCCAUACCGUAAACGAUGAAUGCUAAGUGUUGGAGGGUUUCCGCUCUUCAGUGCUGCAGCUAACGCAUUAAGCAUUCCGCCUGGGGAGUACGGCCGCAAGGCUGA